GAGAUAUUGAGCUUUUGGAGAAAAGUGUCCCAAGAAACCUACUUGGCAGCUGGCAAUUUUUUGCUAAGGGCCUGAGGAAGAAGACCUAAGAUGUGGGACAGGACCAUGCUGAGAUACCUGCUGCAGGGCCUGACUAUAUUCUUGCUAGGCGUGACCUGCGGUGCCGCCUCCAUGGGAGCAGUGGUACAUGUUGUGCCCCUGCAAGCUACCGAAGGAAAAACAGUGAGGGCACAUUUCAGUGUGAUUGUGUCCAAUCCUUGCCCAGAUUUGUCUGACGUGUGUGCCACAGGAGAGGAC